rnacentral:lncRNA from 1 species
AGCACCAAGAUCUGUGUGUCAACUUUUUCUUUUUUUCUUUUUUUAAUUUGGCAGAAGACAGAAGCAAUGUUGACUUCUGUGAAGAUAAAAAUAGCCUAAUAUUAUUAGGUUCCUUAUUUUUUCCCAUCUCUUUACUUGGCUAUUUUUGGCAUGGGUUUGACCCCAGUCUGCUAGUUACGUAGCUGUAGAAUUCGCUGCCAAUGUCCAGAAGUUGAAAAACAUCAUUUUUCUCAUGGCUUUAUUAGGAAAGAAGAUAUUUUCUUCUGAAGGCCAUAAAAGAUAACAUUCUUUCAUCGCUUGUUGAGUCUACUUGGGCAACUCAGUCAACCGUGAGCCAGUCCCUCACAGUCUUGGAUGAUACAUCUAAUAAUAAAUACUGGAAGGCAUUCACUAGGCCUACUUUCCUCACCUAGCAUCUAAGAGGAAAACCAAAAUACAUACCUGAGGAAAAUUCAUAACAUAAAACAUUGGAAACAAUAACUGAAAUAAGAGAUUAGUAAAGAGUGCUAUAUAAUUAUUCCAAAUGUAUAUUUGGGAUGGAAUUUUUCAAAAUUAUUCCUUCAAAGUAAAUAUAACAACAAGAUAAAACAUAAUAUAAAUAUAAGACAAUAUAACAUAAAAGUGAGCAGCUUAUAGUUCUUAUUCCAUGACAAUUUCCAAAUAAUGCAAUGAUCAGGUAUUGUAUAAUAAUGUAAUUAAUGUGAUCUGUUUACACCACAAUAAAAGUCAAAGAUAGCAUGAUCACAAAAUAAGAAAAUUUGAAAAAUAAAUGAAAACAGGUGAUAGGAUGAAGUUAUGAGGAAGUGAAGAGACUUGAUCACUCUUAUGAAUCAGAGAAUUCAUUUCACUAACAUUUCUACAUGUAAAAUAAUACACCCCAUUUUGAUUUAAAAUGGAAAUCCACUCACACACCACGUAGACAAAGAUAAUCGAAGAUGAAGCAAAAGGUUGGAUGAGCAAGUAGUGAGUUGACUGCAAUCCAUUGGGAGGAUGAAGCUGGAGGCAACCUGUUGUUUCCUGAAAGCUUGCCCUGCUUGGGCUAUUCAGAAUCAGUCUGCUGCCUUCCCCUCUCCUCCAAUACUUGUUCAUGUGGGAACUUGGCAUUCCUAAGAACAGCCUUGGUUGGAGAAAGCCGGGGAAGUUUGCAUGAUGAGUAUAAUAAGUUUGAGAAUCUAUUGUUUAUUGGAAAUGAAGCAAACAAUGUGUUCAUUUGAAACUUUUUAUCAAUCUUUUUCUUUCCCUUUAAAUUUGCUGAUGGAAAUAUUUGGAUGGAGGGGACACUGUGUGUUAGAAAGGCAGGCAGCAAAAGUCCUUGAAAUAGUUGUGCUUAUUAGUAAAAAUCAUCAUGCCUUUCACAAGUCUUUGAACACUAAAUAAGGCACUGAAAGCAAAGGAACAGCCUGUGUGGCUGCAAGUACUUCUUGGGAUUUCAUGAGCUAUUUGGGGAUCAGAUCCAGAUCAUCAUUGUGCUUAUUUUACUCUUCCAUUCCGAUCCUGUGCAUCUCGACGUUGCAUUUACUAGAAGGGGAGAUAUCGCAAUGCUGUGCUAGCUAUGGGUUGGGGACGAAAGGGGACUGAAGAGGAAGGUGAGGAGCAGGCUUAUUGAUGCUAAACCUGCUAAGGUGCCAUCUUACAGGCCUAAGUUAAACCUAAUAACCACACACGGCAUUUCAGUUGUUGAAAAUCUAUUCAAUGAAAAAUGAGCUUUUAAUACUAAAAAUAGUUCCUAUGUGGGAGCUGAGAGAAGAAUUAGUAGAGUGAAGAGAGUGAAAAUUUGAAGCCUGGGGUAUUUGACAAGAUAAAUUCCAAUAGAAAAUGUGAAAGUGGGAUAAUUUACCAAAGAGUAGAAGCUCUGAGAGGAGAAGCUUAGACUAUUCUCUACCUUUCUUUAAUUUUGAGAAUUCAUUUCACUAACGUUUCUACAUGUAAAAUAAUUGAAAAGCCUGACUUUAGAAAAUGUAGAUACAAUCACAACUAGGCCUUGAAGGGUAGAAAUAUUUACAAUGCUUCUGUGAAAAAUUUCUUUGCGCUUUAACAAAAAGAAAAGCUGUAUAUUCUAUC